rnacentral:rRNA from 1 species
UCAGCUCGUGUCGUGAGAUGUUGGGUUAAGUCCCGCAACGAGCGCAACCCUCGUCCUAUGUUGCCAGCGGGUCAUGCCGGGGACUCAUGGGAGACUGCCGGGGUCAACUCGGAGGAAGGUGGGGGAUGACGUCAAAUCAUCAUGCCCCUUAUGUCUUGGGCUUCACGCAUGCUACAAUGGCCGGUACAAAGGGCUGCGAUACCGCGAGGUGGAGCGAAUCCCAGAAAGCCGGUCUCAGUUCGGAUUGGGUCUGCAACUCGACCCCAUGAAGUCGGAGUCGCUAGUAAUCGCAGAUCAGCAACGCUGCGGUGAAUACGUUCCCGGGUCCUU